CAUGCAAGUCGAGCGGCAGCGCGGGGCAACCUGGCGGCGAGCGGCGAACGGGUGAGGAAAACAUCGGAACGUGUCCCGUAGUGGGGGAUAGCCCGGCGAAAGCCGGAUUAAUACCGCAUAUGCUCUACGGAGGAAAGCGGGGGAUUCGCAAGAACCUCGCGCUAUGGGGGCGGCCGAUGUCCGAUUAGCUAGUUGGUGGGGUAAAGGCCUACCAAGGCGACGAUCGGUAGCUGGUCUGAGAGGAUGAUCAGCCACACUGGGACUGAGACACGGCCCAGACUCCUACGGGAGGCAGCAGUGGGGAAUUUUGGACAAUGGGGGCAACCCUGAUCCAGCCAUGCCGCGUGCGGGAAGAAGGCCUUCGGGUUGUAAACCGCUUUUAGCCGGGAAGAAAAGGCACGGACUAAUACUUCGUGUUCUUGACGGUACCGGCGGAAUAAGCACCGGCUAACUACGUGCCAGCAGCCGCGGUAAUACGUAGGGUGCGAGCG
rnacentral:rRNA from 1 species